GAGAAACCUAAGGCAUAUCUAGCUUAUUCAACAAUAAGCCAAAAAAGAACACCAAUAUAAUUUGUCUUCAUAAUUACAUCAUACCUAGUGCAGAUGCUAGUACACUUUACAAGGAAAGUGACAUGCUAUUACACUAAUAAUAAAAAUCAUGAAAUACCAUAUAUAUUAUACACCAGUAGAAGCAUUACAUCUUAAUUUGCCUCUUCUCCUCUGCCAUCCCAAUUCCCAACCCCCACCAUUCCAAUUCCCAAACCCCCCAGCCUCUUCUGACUAACAGGAGAGAGCAUAUGAUGACAGGAAAUUUAACUUCGACAAAAUAUAGAGAGUAUAUGAUUAAUUUAGCAAUGGCAUAUCAAACACAAGGAACUAGCAGCCUAACGUGAACGGGACAAUCUGUAAAUUUCCCACAUUUGCAGAACUAAUGCUUCUUGAUAAUAAUUUAAAUAGUAGAAAAUAACAAUUUAAUUGAUGGAAAUUCAUUAUGAAUUGGAUGCAGCAGUUUCAAUACAGCUUCUCCAAGUUCAGAAUCUCCUUGCGUGCUAUUACAAUUUACACCUGAAGUAAACACAUCCACUUCCCAUCAAAAUUAUCCUUAUUCGAUACGUUUGUCUUUAAUAACGCUAAUAGAAAUAAUAUCUAGGGCUACCAGGAUUAAUCAAAUAAACAACCAGAGGAAAUGAGGCUCAUGUCCUAAUUUUAUCCUACAUAUUCUAAAGGGAAACAGUAACAGAUUAGAGUUCAGGCUUGAUCUCCCAUAAAAAGGACUCGGUUAGUGUACACAAAAUUGGAACUAGAUCAGUCCAGACUAUGGAAUCAUAUUAGCAGAUACUGAAUUUCCCUGGCUUGUGAGUACUGAGUCCAAUAGAUCUCCAAUAUUCCUGCCUACACAUUUAUAGCUAGUAACAAGUAGUCCUCAUAUAUCUGUUGCAAUGAUGACAAAGAACAAGACAGGCAACAUGUUAUUUGAAUUUGGAGGUCCAAAAAGCCAGACCCUUGAGAGUUUCACUUAUUUUAGUUGGUAUGAAAUAUAUAGAGAAAAUAGUACUUAUGCAAAGUUUUCUUAUAAUUCAAGAAUCAAUAUAAUUUAAACACUAAUAAUACAGGGAAAAGCAAGAAGAGAAUACAAUAUCCAUUGCUACCACAAGCAAUAAAUAGCCAUUAAGUGCAAUUUGACAUGUACUGUAACUUUAAGCAAACAAAAGCCAGCAGGGCAUUAGAGUUUCAAAGCUCCCAAGAUGAUGUUGGUACCUUAGCUCUCAAGAUGAUGUUGAUAACUUGAUAGCUUUGAAUGCAGGGUGAAGCAACCCAAGCUCAUCUUUCACUUCAAGUGGAUUGCUAGUCUCAUUUCUCACUCUUUUAACUCUCCGGCUAGCAAGUGAUUUAUGAGUAAAUCCAUACAUCUGCAAAAUUUGAUUGUCCCCAAAAUUGAAAGCUCGAUCCAUCUGCUUCAAACACCUCUCCACUGGAUAAUCACCAAACUUGCCACAUGGCUUGCAACCCACAAAGUGAGUCACAAGUGGCCACCGGUGAUCACCGAGACCUGGAUGAUAAUUCUCAAUCAUUUCCUCGUAUCGAUCAACUAAAAUCCCCCAAUAACCAUGCAAAUAAUAAGCACUCUCCAGAUAAACCUUAGCACCCCAUUUAUCCCUCUGUGUAGCCAAUAGAAAAACCAUUGCAGACUGAUCAUCAGCUUCGAAAACGGGUCUAUCCUUAAGCUCCCUAGUGAGUACCUUCCCAGCUUCUUCCCUAAUCUUCCCUUUAGGCCCCAUUGGCGCCCAGGCAUCCAAAAUAUCCAAUGCCCACUGGCAAUUCCUCAACAGGAAACUUCCGGUAUUCAAUCCAAUCCAAUUUUUCUGAUCGUAUACCAUUUCAUUCCACCCGUGCAUCACAAAAUUGGAAUCUUUGUACCUCUCCCAAGGGACCUCAAAUGCCAUAUCCGUAAACAUGGCAUCACUAUCCAUCCACCACAAGAACUCGAUCUCCGGAUGGGAGAGCAAUAGCUUCCUUAUCAAAGGAAGCUUCGCCCAAAAUCCAGCCAUUUCCGCAUCAAGCAGAGCCAUGUUAUAAAAAAUCUCAACACCAUGAAGCCUGCAAUAAUCGAUCUUGUUCUUAAUCGACUUCAACAAGUAAUGAUCCCCCACCGGAUUCUCACAAGGCUUAGGCGAAGAUCCUGUCACCAAGAGCACUCUCGGCUUGUUUGGUCCAAUAAAAUUGGGGAAAUUAGGGUUCUUUCUCAACCACUCAGCUCUUUGCACGUCCCAAUCUGAAAUCUUGGGGCCGAGACUAUACGGUUUGUUCGGAUCCGGCUUCUCGUCUUGCCCUUCAUCCACCAAGAUCUUAUUAAUAUCAAAUGUGGCAUAAUUGUUUGGAUCGUUGUUAUUAUUGUUGUUAUUUUGAGUUGACUCGGCGGCGGGUUGGGCUUCGACGAGGACUCGGUGGGGCUCAGCAUGCUUGCGGGAGGCGUAGAAACGAUCGCGGAGUUCAUUGAAGUCCUGCUCUGGAGUACCAAAUUUACCGGCGCCGAUGAUGCCACGUAGGACGACGACGGUCAUGAAGAGGCAAAGGAGGGUAAGCUUUCCCUGGCGAAUCGCUCGGUGAAUACGAAGGACUCGGUGCGUCCCGAGGCACCUCUCCAGCAUCUUGACACUGCCCGAGUUAAAGAGCUUCCCUAACCUCCUCCCUUUCAGCAAAAAAAUCAAUUAUUUCGUUUUGGCCUUAUGAGAAAUGCAAAUGUCUAUUAUGGAGAGGGCAUGGUGGUAAAUAAGGGAAGAAUAAGGGGGCAAUUAGGAAGGAGAGGGUCGACGGAUUGAGUGGGGAAGUGAGAGCUGUAAAUGGAAGGGCAGAUCCACGAAGAAGAAGAAGAAGGAGGAGAAGAUGAAGAUUUUGGUUAAAAAU
rnacentral:misc_RNA from 1 species